CUAAAAGAAACCUAUCACAUUGUUGCAACUGUUGUGUCAGAUCAUGAUAAUGCAGAUAAUCAGUCAGUGGUGCCCUGGGUGGUGCGGAAUAUAAAAAGGUGCAGAAUGUUGACACCGCAUAUGAGGGAGAUGUUGACUGGGAACUGAUGCAUGAGCAAGGAUCGUUUACAAAUACCCCUGCAUAUGAUGGAGACCGAUCUGUCAGAGCAAAGGAUAAAUCUGAUUCACAUUCGAAUAUUCUGGAUGAGGCAAGUAAUUCUCGUACAGCAGCAGUAGCAGCCGGGUUGAAAGCUCGUGCCAUGAGUCCAAUUGAAAAGAUCAAAUUUAAGGAUGUCUUAAAACGCAAAGACGGUCUUCAGGAAUAUCUGGAAUGCAGGAAUUUAAUUCUAGGUCGCUGGAAUAAAGAUGUGAAGCACAUAUUGCCUCUUGUAGAUUGUGGUGUAUAUGAUACCUCUUCAGAAGAUGAAUCACCCUGUGAUCUUCUCAUUCGUGAAAUUUACUUGUUUCUGGACCGCAAUGGUUAUAUUAAUACAGGGAUUGCAUCAGAGAAGGAGACAACAAAUCUGUGUGGUAUACCUCAUUCUAAAGUUCCAAAGAAAUUCAAACCUAACAAAACUAAUGGGGUGAAUACAGCUGGUUCUGAGCAUGGAAUUCCCUCUGUUCAAAGUCAGUUUAGUAUUUCUGAAAAUUUUGAGAUAAAGGAGAAUGAUAUGCCCUUUGUAGUUCAAAAAACAAAAUUGAAGCUUGAUGCUGAAGCUAGUGAAAAUAAUAAUCUCCAAUCACCUUGUUCGGGAUCAGAGUUAUCCUCUCAGGUGAAGUCAAAGGAACAAACAGUUGGCUGCAUGGAACUAGAUGUGCAGUCUGCAAGUAGAAAAUGUGAAACAGAAAUAAUCAACAGUGUUAAGGUUGGAGAUGAUAUGUGCAUGGAUUGGCAUUGCAGCCCGAGGAGUGGGUAUGGCAAAGUCGUACCAGAUAACCAAGGGAUUCAGCGCAAUGAUCGACAGGCAAAACCACAUGGUGGUUCAAUUUCUGUUUCAUCUUCUGUCUUUGGUCGUGAACCAAAUCCUGAUGUUUCUGUGAAGCAGAUAGAAGAUUUCUCUGAUAUGCAUCAAUCAGUAGAAAGUGAAAGAGAAAAUAUUGCAUAUAUUGAAAAUAUUGGGACCCGUUCGACUGAAGUACACUCUAUCAAGGUGGAUAAUAGUACUGAAUCUGAUUUAAAAGUUCUCAAGAGAAUUAUAAUUGUUGGAGCUGGUCCUGCUGGCUUAACCGCGGCACGCCAUCUGCAACGCCAAGGUUUUUCUGUCACUGUUCUAGAGGCUCGUGAUAGAAUUGGGGGUCGUGUGUAUACGGACCGCAAAUCACUUUCAGUUCCUGUAGAUCUUGGUGCCAGCAUUAUCACUGGUGUAGAGGCUGAUGUUGCGACUGGAAGACGGCCAGAUCCCUCCUCUCUAAUUUGUAGGCAGUUAGGACUUGAAUUAACUGUUUUGAACAGUGAUUGCCCUCUUUAUGAUAUAGUCACAGGUCAUAAAGUUCCUACUGAAUUGGAUGAUACUCUGGAAGCUGAAUAUAAUAGUCUCCUUGAUGACAUGGUUGUACUUGUUGCACAAAAUGGUGAAGGUGCAAUGAGGAUGUCACUUGAGGAUGGACUAGAAUAUGCUCUUAGAAGGCGUUGUAUGGCUCAGUCAACAUCAGUGGCUUUAGAUCAAGUUAAGUUGGUCUGCAAUUCUGGAAUGGUGAAUACUGUUAUGAAUCCUCCCAUGGCCACUGAAAUCACCAAUGGUGCUGAGGACAGUCCUACUAUGAACAUAUUGAGUCCUCUUGAGAGAAGAGUGAUGGAUUGGCACUUCGCGAAUCUGGAGUAUGGUUGUGCUACCUUGCUUAAGGAGGUAUCUCUUCCCUACUGGAACCAGGAUGAUGUUUAUGGAGGAUUUGGAGGGGCUCACUGCAUGAUUAAAGGGGGUUACAGCACCAUUAUAGAAAGUUUAGAUAAGGGACUUGAUAUUCACUUAAACCAAAUUGUUACAGAAGUCGUCUAUGACGUGAAGGACUCAGGUGAAGUUGGCCAACAUCAAAACAAAGUGAAAGUAAGCACAUCCAAUGGUGGUGAGUUUGUGGGAGAUGCAGUCUUGAUCACCGUGCCACUUGGUUGUCUAAAGGCAGAUACCAUUAAGUUCUCUCCUACUUUACCAGGUUGGAAACAAUCCUCAAUCCAGAGGCUUGGUUUUGGUGUGCUGAACAAAGUAGUGCUAGAGUUCCCUGUAGUAUUUUGGGAUGAUACUGUAGAUUAUUUUGGGGUUACUGCAGAAGAAACAAGUCGGAGGGGCCAAUGUUUUAUGUUUUGGAAUGUCAAGAAGACUGUUGGGGCUCCUGUUCUUAUAGCACUUGUGGUUGGGAAAGCAGCUAUAGAUGGACAAUUUAUGAGCACGUCUGAUCAUGUAAAUCAUGCUUUGAUGGUUCUUCGUAGACUUUUUGGUGAAGCUGCUGUACCAGAUCCUGUAGCUGCUGUUGUAACAAACUGGGGCUUGGAUCCUUACAGUAGGGGUGCUUAUUCCUAUGUUGCUGUGGGCGCAUCUGGGGAGGACUAUGAUAUUUUGGGGAGACCUGUUGCAAACUGCUUAUUUUUUGCUGGCGAAGCAACCUGCAAAGAACAUCCAGAUACCGUUGGUGGUGCAAUGUUGAGUGGUCUUCGAGAAGCAGUUCGUAUUAUUGACAUCUUCGGUACUGGCAAGGAUCAUGGGGAAGAGGUUGAUGCAAUGGAAGCUGUACAAAGACGGUCAGAUAGUGAAAGAAGUGAAGUCAGAGACAUGUCAAAGAGACUUGAUGCAUGCAAACUUUCCAGUGUUCUUUGCAAGAACGUAGAUGACAUGCAUUGCUUGCCCACAAAGGAAGGCUUACUGAAAGAUAUGUUCUCUAGUGCAAAGACUACUUCUGGACGAUUACUUCUGGCAAAAGAAUUGUUAUGCCUUCCUGUUGAAACUCUCAAAUUCUUUGCUGGGACCAAGGAGGGACUUAGCACACUCAAUACUUGGAUCCUUGAUUCGUUGGGCAAAAAUGCUACACAGCUCUUGCGUCAUUGUGUCCGCUUGCUUGUGCUUGUAUCAACGGAUCUUCUUGCUGUUCGUUUGUCUGGGAUUGGAAGGACUGUAAAGGAGAAAGUCUGUGUGCAUACUAGUCGAGAUAUCCGUGCUAUAGCAAGUCAGCUGGUCAGUAUGUGGAUAGAAGUUUUCUGUAAGGACAAGGCCAGAAAUGGUGCGGUGAAACUAUUAAGGCAAACAACAAAAUCAGAAUCAUCGAUGGUCAGAUCUAAAGAUCUGAUAUCAGGAAAGCCACCUCUACAUAUGGCUAGUGAAGCAUUGGAUAGUAAAGGCAAUUGGCAGGUUCCUUCAACUGCUAGAACCCAUUCACCUUCCAGAGCAAAUAAUAAAAAAUUUGAUAACAGGAUAGCCAAGUUAGAACCUUUAAUAGAAAUAAAUUCUGAGGUUAACUCAUCAUGCUCCCAGAGAGUGAUACAGGGUAUGGAAUCUAUGUUGGAGAAUAAUGUGGUAAUGACUGAAGAAGCACCUGCAGCCUUUGCUGCUGCUGAAGCUGCACGUGCUGCUGCUCUUAAAGCUGCUGAGGCAUAUGCAUCUUCAGAAGCAGAGGUUAGUGCAUGGCGCGAUCUUCCAAAGAUACCAUCAUUCCAUAAAUUUGCAAGACGUGAACAAUAUGUACAGAUGGAUGAAUCUGACAUAAGAAAGAAAUGGUUUGGUGGUGUUCUUGGAAGGCAAGAUUGUAUAUCUGAAAUAGACUUGAGAAACUGCAGGGUGAGAAAUUGGUCGGUUGAUUUUACCGCCUCCUGUGCGAAGCUUGACAAUUCAAAAAUGUCUGGUGAUAACUGUACAGAGAGGAGUUAUUCAAAUGAAAUGGCAUGCCCUUCAAAUCUAAGAGAACAUUCUGGAGAAAGUGGAGCGAUAGAUAGUCGAUUGACAAAGGCAUGGGUUGAUACAGAUACAGAUGGAAGUGGGGGUGUCAAGGGUUCUCUUGCCAUUGAGAGGUGGCAGUCUCAAGCAAUGGAUGCAGAUGCUGAUUUUUAUAGCCAUAUGUACAUAAGGGACGAGGAAGAUUCAAAUAGAAUGUCAGAUGUAUCCAGUGCUAGGCACCAAGGGCAGAUGAGAGGAAGUUCUGCCUCACAAGUUGCAGGCAACAGAUCAUCAUUUGAUGGUCAACCAAGAGGAGCAGACUGUAUUAAACAAGGUGUGGUGGACUAUGUGGCAUCAUUGCUUAUGCCUCUGUAUAAGAUAAGGAAGAUUGACAGAGAAGGAUAUAAGUCUAUAAUGAAGAAAACUGCUGCCAAGGUCAUGGAACAAUGUACAGAAGCAGAAAAGGUGAUGGCAGUUUACGAGUUUCUUGAUUCUAAGCGGAAGAACAAGAUUCGAUCUUUUGUGGACAAGUUGAUUGAAAGGCAUAUGGAAAUGAAUCAAAAAGCAAAGUCCUGAUGCUUCCAAUGGCUGUCUUGGAAGCAAAUCAUCUGCAAGUGAUGCCUGUUAUUUAUAACCUGCAUCCUGUUGAAGAACCAAAAUGGCUUAUGAGCUCUUUCUGCAGUUCGAUGGAAUCAGAAAUGCUUGCCAGUCGAUUGUCUGUUUUACAAUUUUCAUGCAGAACCCAUAAAUUGUCAAUGCUGAAAUGCACUCUAGGAUAUGGCACAAGCAUCUAGUUGAAAGCUGUCAAACCAUAUGGAGCAACUCUAUGGACCUUUAGCAUUCCAAGAUUCAUGCAAAAUCAGAUCUUUCUCCUUCAGGGACAGUCCCUUGAGGACUUGCACAUGCCUCUUUCUUUCAUGUGCUUUGGGGUUCACAAGGAUGCUUCAGAGGAAGGAGAAAUAAAGUCAUAUAGGGACUUGGGUGACAUUGGUUUCUAGUGCUGAUCUUAAAGCAACAGAUUUUUUGCCUGACCAUUGGUAUUAUGUCGAGGAUCAAUUAGAUUCAAGUGCAGUUGUUCCAUUUGGUAUCAACCGGAGCUUGUAUUCUUUAUACAGAUUAACCCUAUUCUUUGUUCAAGGAUCCCAUACAUGAGGCGAUCUUUUUGCUCUUUGUUCAUCUCUGUACAAAAAAAAACUGACAACUUGCAUAACCUGUUCAUCCCUCUUCUGAAGUGGUUCAUUGCUCGAGUUUUGUAUACAAACAAAAUUAGUCCAAAUUGUACUUAAUCUAACUUAAUUGUGGGUUUGUAAGAUGGGACCCCUCAUUUCUUUGUUCUCAUGCAAAUAGACAUUGAUCAUAAAAUUUUCUUGUACCAUAUAUUAAUUGAAGUUUAGAUAUUUUGGUCUUGCCAGCUUUCCUCUUUAGCUCUGAUUUAAUUGAAUAAUGGAUUUUAUCCUAAAUGGAAUAUCACCUAAUCUAUUUUCCUAACUCCGGCAUCAAUAGCAGUUGUGUGAACCGGCUUGUUUUCGUCGUCCUCUUUCCCAACAGUUAGAAUGGUGAAAUUGCAAAGAACAGGUUGAAAGGUAGGUUUCUGUUGAUGCUGCAUUACUGACAUUUUUAAACUUUUCCUCAUUUAUUCCAAUGAUGCUGGAUUUGUAUGAAUGCAGUUUAUUAGUCAAACACAAACGCAGCAUUUAGAUCGCAUUCGCCUGCCAUUUCAUAAUUGUCAACAAGGAUUCUGGGCCUAAAGUAGGUUUGAUUUUGCAAUGUCCAUUCUUUAUGGGGUUUGCCUAUAAUUUCCAUGUUUGUUUAUGCGGACUUGACAAGGUUUCUUUUAAAAAUGCUUACAGUCGCAAUGUCUGCAUUUUCUUCAGAUGAUGGGGGCUCCACAGCUGACUAAAAUAACCUGUUACUUUUACAUGUUUUUUUGCUGUGUCAAGGGACUACUUCAAUAUAAAAUUUUGAGUUUACAGUGAUGUUGAAUUUCACUCCAUGUGUGUUUUGCUAUGGGACUUGCUGUUGAUUAUAUUCUCUUAUGUCUCUUUGCUGGUUGUGUCCUCUUAAGCAGACGUUCAGUUCUUUUCCUUGUAGACCCUAGCACGACAUUCUCUCUGUACCUCCAUGACCAUGGUAUGACUCGUCUUUACAGCCUUUUGCCAUGACACUGGUGCUUUGGUGGAUUGAGGCAGCAUAGGAAUCCUGAAUAACUUCUCGUAACAUUUGGACACUGAACAAAACGAUAAGCUUUAUGUGCGAGACAGGUUUACUCUCCAUUCAGUGCUCUCUCCUGAUGCUGUAAGCCUUUACAUUUAGCCCAGCACGCAAUUCCUUUGGUUAUAUUAAUAUUGCACAAGCCACAGUUCGCUGGUGACAUAAGCAAGCGUGCAUUAUUGCUGGUGAUUAUUAUACUGACACUUUUGCCUCCUUGUAGAAUAAUUUGCAGCUCAUGCUAUGCAAAAUGCUAGCAAUUUGUCAACGACAACUUUUGCAAGCAUGUCGAAUAUUGUUUUCUUGAUAUUACCUUUUUAAGCUUUUGCAGUAGAAUGCAAUCCUGUGGAUGAAAUACAAAGUCGAAUGACCAUAAUAUAUAACUACUCUGAAGUUCUUGUUUUGAUAGCAUCCUUCUGUUCUUUGUUUCAGAUUACUAUUGCAAGCGCUUUAUGGAAUGGUAUCGUCGCUACCAACUUUUUCAGCUGAGAGCGUGCUGGAGUGAGACACAUAUCCAGUGUUUUGGUGGCUGGUGAAAAUGGGACGAUCGUACUUGACAAUCAUGUUGAAUGACUGGAGAUGCAACUGUUUUGGAUUAGAGUUGCAUUCAUGAAAGAUCAGAAUCCAAACCUGAUCAGAAUCCAACUGAUCGUACUUGAUUAUAGCACUACUUACAGCAUCUGUUAACAAUACAUGGUUAUAAUGGCCUUUGGUGUCCUCUAAGAGCCACCGAUCCUAAGUUUGACAAUUCUAUGAUAUGGUAUACGAUCGUCAAACUGGUUCAAAGUUUCCAUUCGUACUAUUUCAUUGAGUCAUCAACAUGUCUUGACUUUCACGAUCUUCUAAGAUCAAGAGAAAAGUACGGGUUAAGCCUCAUUUUUGUGUCCUGGAUCUCCUAUAACUCAACCAUCUCCAAUAAUUCUCUUGUCAGGAUCAUUUGUGUUACUCUCAAGUUUUAAAGGAAUAGGGAUAUCUGUCGUUUUAUAUACAAGUAACUUUUAUCCCAAAAACAAUGACCAAUCUUCUCCACGCAGCUUCACAUUGUAACAAAGCAACCUGGUUUAAAAAGCACACGCUAGCACCACUAAAUCAAGAUCUUCGAAGGCGUUAUCUUGUUCUCACUAGCUCAAGCUUGUUCUAGUGGCGAGUUCUUUUAUUAGAAAGAUUCGGCUUUGUAUAUUAAGAAGAGUGCAGCAUGCAAAGAUUUGCUGAUUUCACUUAAAAAUUAUAAAUUUUUUUAGUGAAAGGAUCUUUACUUCAAAUAAAAUAAGAAAUCCAGUUCGAAACAGUUGUAACAUCAUCUUCUGCACCAGUAUUGGCAUCUGCCAGUCUCUUUCUCUCUUCCUCCCUCUCCCUCUUCUUUCUUUUUUUCUCUCUCUCACGGUCUACAUUCGCUCUCUCUUGUGUCGGUACAAGUUCGGCACGAUAUGGGCCCAUACCGACUCGGGCCAUCGGACAACCGAUAUCGGCACAGUAGACCGUGUGCGUAAAAGAAUAAAAGAUUGCACCUACACAAAUACCCAUUCAAUCAUGGCCGACUUGGCUCCUAAAAACAACCUUGUCAUAGCAAUCUCAGCAACGAUGCCUACUCUAAACGCUACGUUUGCAUGCUCCACCUUAUCUCCAUAUGAAGCAUGUUAUUCACUUUUAUUUUUUUUAGAGACAGUUUUAUGCAAGCAGUCGGUCCAUGCACUGACAUAACAAGAGUCAUAUAUAAUUAUAAACCGCUUUCAUGCCAAAGAUUUCAUAUCAAGUUAGCCUUGAAAUAAAUAAAUGUGCGCAAUAUUUAGUUUUAUAUAUUUUAUUAUUAUUAUUACCUUUUCACAAAAAUCCAUCAAGCUGAAGCUUUAAGCUGUAGACAUUAUGUAGAAAAUGAUUCUAGCUAUACACCAGCAAGCUGGCAUAUAAAACUACAAAUUUAGAUGGAUAAUUCUGUCUAUGUAGUGGGCAUUGGAUCAUUUCAUUGGUGAAAGUUACAGUUGAGGUGCAAAAGCGUUAUGAUGCGUGAGCGUUUGUCAAGCACCAACAAAAUAUAGAUCCAAAAUAUAAAAUCGAAAAAAAUCCAACGCUACCACCUCUGAGCAGGCAAGACUGACACCUUGAAUCAGCAUCAAAGCUAAUGAAACAAAAUAAAGAAAUUUAGGCCACCAGGUGAAAAAAUUGGUCAAGUUUACAUUGGCAGUUUUCACAAUAGCUGAAGCUCUAAUUCAAAAGCUGCAGCCUAAAAGGUAACAGCUAUGUUAUCUUUAUUCGCAUACAUAUUCAUCCCUAUUGUGCUAAAAGAGUAAUCCUACAUAGAAAAUGACCAGUCCAAAA